rnacentral:tRNA from 1 species
GUAUACGCGUUGGACUUUUAAUCCAACGGUCAAGGGUUCAAGUCCCUUAUCGGGCU